rnacentral:lncRNA from 1 species
AAGAAGUCAGGCCGGAUUAAGCCAUAGCACGGUAAGAGCUAUGCUGCCUGUGAGCCCCGUCCAAGGACGUUAAAUGAAGUCAGGCCGAAAGCCACGGUUCGAGCAAGCCGUGCUGCCUGUAGCUCCAUCGUGGGGAUGUAAAAACCCGGGAGGCUGCAAACCAUGGAAGCUGUACGCAUGGGGUAGCAGACUAGUGGUUAGAGGAGACCCCUCCCAAGACACAACGCAGCAGCGGGGCCCAACACCAGGAGAAGCUGUACCCUGGUGGUAAGGACUAGAGGUUAGAGGAGACCCCCCGCACA